AUUCCGAGGAGCGUUGCAACGGACCGGCCUGUUUUUCCACCUGCCGGCCGCCAGGCUCGGAAGUUCAAACGGCGCUCGC
rnacentral:ncRNA from 1 species